rnacentral:snRNA from 1 species
GGUGCAGUGCUUGCACCCUAUUUAUAGAGGAGUAGCAUGGCCCCAGUGGAAGGAUGACAUGCAAAUUCAUAAAUCAUUCCACAUUUUU